rnacentral:lncRNA from 1 species
AUGGAAGAACUGUACAAAAAAGAUCUUCACGACCCAGAUAAUCAUGAUGGUGUGAUCACUCAUCUAGAGCCAGACAUCCUGGAAAGUGAAGUCAAGUGGGCCUUGGAAAGCAUCGCUACAAACAAAGCUAAUGGAGGUGAUGGAAUUCCAGUGGAGCUGUUUCAGAUCCUGAAAGAUGAUGCUGUGAAAGUGCUGCACUCAAUAUGCCAGCAAAUUUGGAAAAUUCAGCAGUGGCCACAGGACUGGAAAAGGUCAGUUUUCAUUCCAAUCCCAAAGAAAGGCAAUGCCAAAGAAUGCUCAAACUACCGCACAAUUGCAUUCAUCUCACAUGCUACUAAAGUAAUGCUCAAAAUUCUCCAAGCCAGGCUUCAGCAAUACGUGAACCGUGAACUCUCUGAUAUUCAAGCUGGUUUUAGAAAAGGCAGAGAAACCAGAGAUCUAAUUGCCAACAUCCUCUGGAUCAUGGAAAAAGCAAGAGAGUUCCAGAAAAACAUCUACUUCUGCUUUAUUGACUAUGGCAAAGCCGUUGACUGUGUGGAUCACAAGAAACUGUGGAAAAUUCUGAAAGAGAUGGGAAUACCAGACCACCUGACCUGCCUCUUGAGAAAUCUGUAUGCAGGUCAGGAAGCAGCAGUUAGAACUGGACAUGGAACAACAGACUGGUUCCAAAUAGGAAAAGGAGUACAUCAAGACUGUAUAUUGUCACCCUGCUUAUUUAACUUCUAUGCAGAGUACAUCAUGAGAAACGCUGGACUGGAAGAAACACAAGCUGGAAUCAAGAUUGCUGGGAGAAAUAUCAAUCACCUCAGAUAUGCAGAUGACACCACCCUUAUGGCAGAAAGUGAAGAGGAACUAAAAAGCCUCUUGAUGAAAGUGAAAGAGGAAAGUGAAAAUGUUGGCCUAAAGCUCAACAUUCAGAAAACAAAGAUCAUGGCAUCUGGUCCCAUCACUUCAUGGGAAAUAGAUGGGGAAACAGUAGAAACAGUGUCAGACUUUAUUUUGGGGGGCUCCAAAAUCACUGCAGAUGGUGAUUGUAGCCAUGAAAUUAAAAGACGCUUACUCCUUGGAAGAAAAGUUAUGACCAACCUAGAUAGCAUAUUCAAAAGCAGAGACAUUACUUUGCCAACUAAGGUUCAUCUAGUCAAGGCUAUGGUGUUUCCUGUGGUCAUGUGUAUGGAUGUGAGGGUUGGACUGUGA